rnacentral:tRNA from 1 species
GUGGGAGUAACUCAGUGGUAGAGUGCAACCUUGCCAAGGUUGAGGUCGAGGGUUCGCCCCGUCAUUCGACGGGGCGCCCGGUCGAACCUGUCCCGUUGAAUGACGGGAUGACCGGGCGAGUCCCUUCUCCCGCUCCA